rnacentral:rRNA from 1 species
CCCGUUGAUCCUGCGGGAGGUUGCUGCUAUUAGGAUUCGACUAAGCCAUGCAAGUCUGAUAGUAAUAUCGGCAGAAUGCUCAGUAACACGUCGUCAAUCUGCCCUGGAGUCAGGGAUAACCUCGGGAAACUGAGGGUAACACCUGAUAGGAGAUACGAUCUGGAAUGAUGUAUCUUUUAAACUCGCGCUCCAGGAUGAGACGGCGGCGGAUUAGGUUGUUGGCGGGGUAAUGGCCCACCAAGCCGAUGAUCCGUACGGGCCAUGAGAGUGGUAGCCCGGAGAAGGACACUGAGAUACUGGUCCUAGCCCUACGGGGUGCAGCAGGCGCGAAACCUCUACAAUGCACGAAAGUGUGAUAGGGGGAUCCUAAGUGCUUGCACAUAGUGCAGGCUUUUGCCAAGGGUAAAUACCUUGGAGAAUAAGUGGUGGGUAAGACUGGUGCCAGCCGCCGCGGUAAUACCAGCGCCACGAGUGGCAACCGCGAUUAUUGGGCCUAAAGCGUCCGUAGCAGGUUCGGUAAAUCUUUUGUGAAAUCGCAGAGCUUAACUUUGCGGAAUGCAGAAGACACUGCCGAGCUCGAGAUCGGGAGGAGUGAGAAGUAUUUCCGGGGGACUGGUAAAAUGGUUUAAUCCCGGAAGGACUACCGAUGGCGAAGGCAUCUCACUAGAACGAGUCUGACUGUGAGGGACGAAAGCCAGGGGAGCGAUCCGGAUUAGAUACCCGAGUAGUCCUGGCUGUAAACGCUGUGAACUAGGUGUUGCACCUACUACGGUAUGUGCAGUGUCGAAACGAAGGUGUUAAGUUCACCGCCUGGGAAGUACGGUCGCAAGACUGAAACUUUAAGGAAUUGGCGGGGGAGCACUACAAGGGGUGCGGCGUGCGGUUUAAUCUAACUACACACAGAGAACCUUACUAGGGCCGACGGUAGGAUGAAAGUCAUGCUGAGGACAUUACUUGACGAGCCGAGAGGUGGUGCAUGGCCGUCGUCAGCUCGUGCCGUAAGGUGUCCAGUUAAGUCUGGCAACGAGCGAGACCUGUAUCUACAAUUGCCAGCGGCUGCUUGCAGGACCGGGCACAUUGUAGGGACUGCCUUCGAAAGGAGGAGGAAGGUGCAGGCAACGGUAGGUCUGUAUGCCCCGAUGCCCUAGGCUACACGCGCGCAACAAUGGUAAGGACAAUGGGUCGCGACUCCGAAAGGAAAAGCUAAUCCUCGAAACCUUAUCCUAGUACAGAUUGAGGCUUGCAACUUAGCCUCAUGACGAUGGAAUCCCUAGUAAUCAGAGUUCAUCAUACUCUGGUGAAUAUGUCCCUGCUCCUUGCACACACCGCCCGUCACACCAACCGAGCAGGUCUUAGGUGAGACUC